CAGCUGAGAGCUUAUUUUGUUGGAUACUAGACAUAUGAAGUACUGAAAUACAAAGGGAUUAGGACUGCAAACAAGUUUAUAAGUGAUGAUUGGGCUUUGUGGUGUGCAUGGCUGGAUGGUGAUUGAAUGAAGACAAAAAAAAACAGUAAGGGUAAAAAUGAAAAAGAGACAUGAUAAUCUAGUGCCCUAUAAAAGCAUGCCCCACAAAGGCCAAAGAGGAUAUUCUGUGCAGAAUGAAAGCAUAAGCU
rnacentral:lncRNA from 10 species